CCUACGGGAGGCAGCAGUAGGGAAUAUUGGACAAUGGGUGCGAGCCUGAUCCAGCCAUGCCGCGUGCAGGAAGAAGGCCUUCUGGGUUGUAAACUGCUUUUGCCGGGGGAUAAAAGACCCAUGCGUGGGGAAUUGAAGGUACCCGGUGAAUAAGCCACGGCUAACUACGUGCCAGCAGCCGCGGUAAUACGUAGGUGGCGAGCGUUGUCCGGAUUUAUUGGGUUUAAAGGGUGCGUAGGCGGCCCCGUAAGUCAGUGGUGAAAUACGGCAGCUCAACUGUCGAGGUGCCAUUGAUACUGCGGGGCUUGAGUACAGUCGAGGUAGGCGGAAUUGACGGUGUAGCGGUGAAAUGCUUAGAUAUCGUCAAGAACACCGAUAGCGAAGGCAGCUUGCUAGGCUGUAACUGACGCUGAGGCACGAAAGUGCGGGGAUCAAACAGGAUUAGAUACCCUGGUAGUCCGCACAGUAAACGAUGGUCACUCGGUGUUGGCGGUACACGGCCAGCGCCUUAGCGAAAGCGUUAAGUGACCCACCUGGGGAGUACGCCCGCAAGGUUGAAACGUUAAAUGAAUUGACGG
rnacentral:rRNA from 1 species